UACGUAGGUGGCAAGCGUUAUCCGGAAUUAUUGGGCGUAAAGCGCGCGCAGGUGGUUUCUUAAGUCUGAUGUGAAAGCCCACGGCUCAACCGUGGAGGGUCAUUGGAAACUGGGAGACUUGAGUGCAGAAGAGGAAAGUGGAAUUCCAUGUGUAGCGGUGAAAUGCGUAGAGAUAUGGAGGAACACCAGUGGCGAAGGCGGUCCCCUGGGCCGGAACUGACGCUGAGGCGCGAAAGCGUGGGUAGCAAACGGG
rnacentral:rRNA from 1 species